rnacentral:lncRNA from 1 species
AAACAACUAUGUCUGGCGAGUCCAUGGGCUCAAUCUUGAAUAGGGACACAAUUGGGAACCUUGAUUAUUACCAAAGCUUUGACCGGAAUGUUAUAUUUGAGAGAAACAUAAAGAUUCAGAUAUGACAAGACAGCUUUUGAGGAACAAAGAUUGGACUCUAUGAAAUAAAUCCAUUUGGAAAUAUUAGUCUGUUACCUUGUUUACAGGGUUCCCAGCAACCUUACCAGGAAUGUGAUGACCCCCAGGCAGCGAGUCUAUGCUGAUAGCCAUCAUCAAUGACAACUAAAAAAGCAAGAUCCUGUAACAUGCAGUGUCUGUGGAGGUCCAACAGGCUGACUUCUCCUUCCCAAGAUGGAAGAGGCUGCUGAUUUGCAUGCAUUCAUAUAUUCCUGUCAAUAUUCCAG